GUGCAGCCCCAAUGGGUGCACCCAGAGCUGGUGUGGGGCCAGGUUACAAGCUGGUGUUGAGCAUAGGAAAAGUGACCCUUCGCCCGCCCCGUGGCCGGCACCCUGCACUUCAGUCGCUCACAGCCCAUGUGGGGCUGCCUGUGCCUGCUCUGGACAGCCCUAUGCAGGUUGCGAGCACCUGCAGCAGGAAGUGCUGGCUAUGGGGUGGGGGAGGGGUGCUUUUCCCUGUGCUCUGCACCAGCUCCUUCCCUGCCCUUUGUCCCCCCCUUACCUAAGCUUCCCACGCUGGGGCAGCCACGUGGUCCCAGACCAGAAGCCCCUGCUGAGGUUUCCGGCUAGGGGGGCAGGGCUGGGUGGGCCCUGCUAUUGCAGGAACCCGCCAAGGAUUCCCUUGGGUCCUACUGCCCCUAGUUCCUGUCAUUUUUGACAGAAACCAAGGACAGAUACAUUUUAAUUUUCAAAAUUUGUUUAGGGGCUCCACGGGCCAGAUAGAAUGGCCUCAUAGGCCGUAUUUUGCCCACCCCAGUUUAAGAUUUUAUCAGGGUAUGUGCAUAUAUGGCUUCUGUGCAUGGUAUUGCAGUACUUGGGUAGACUGUAAAAAAUGAGAGAAACCUCUUAAACAGAUCAAUUUAAAACUUAAUUAAAGUUUAUUUUUUUGGCCAUGAGUCUAUUUAAUACUCUGCAAUGUAGCUUAUAAACCUGAGAUACCCAUUAGAUACAAUCUUUUCUAAAUUGGUCAAAAAGAAACAGAAUAGAUAAAGUACCUAUGAUCCAAAUAAAACAUAUAUGAGAAAUAGUGCCUUGAAUUGGAUACUUCAGUUUUUGUGUUUGGGUGGAAUAAUUCUUUAAUUAAUUUCUGAGACAAACUUUCUGUUCUCUGUGGUAUCUAUAAAAUUAUGUAUGUCUUUCUUAUUAUGAAGACACAUAUUUUAGAAUGGUGAAUUUUAAGUAGAGAUUACACUGAAGUGUCUAAAUUCAGCACAAGAAAUAAAUGGGAAACUGCCAGCGUGCCUUAUUGUGAUUCUGUAAGAAGAGCCAUAUGCAAGAACAGAACAGUUAACUGGACUUCAAGCUCUUUUAUUGAGACCAGUAGUUUGUACUACCGUAGAACCUGGGAGCCCUGGUCAUGGACAAGGACCCCAUUGUGAUAGGUGCUGUAUACACACAGAACAAAAAAAUGAUCCUUGCCCUAAAGGCCUUCCAAUCUAACUGUAAAAUGGAUUAGAGGUGGAUGGAGGGUUAUGUGUUAAAUGAGAUCAUAUUGUUGAGCAUGAUAGUAGUUUUGUCAUAUCAGUGGCCUAACUUAACACAGAAGAGAUGAGCUUUAAAGAGCAAUUUGAAGGAUAAAAAUGACAUAACUGGAGAUAUUUAUGGGGAGCGGCUUCCAAGAAUCUUGAACAGCAUGGGUGAAAAUUUGAAGGUGUUUGAAAAGUUAUCAGGUGAGCACUGCAGACAUGCUUCUUGAGCUGAUUGAGGAUGGAGUCAAUUACUUCAUAGUGAAUAAGAGAUUACAAUAGUGGAGGUUUUUGAAAAAGUGAAGACAAGAAGCUAUUCAUCUCAUGAUCCAGAAAGGGGGAGGGAUGCAGAAAGAGAGGUACCAGUCAAAGUGAUGAGCAAAGGAAAUGGUCUUUGCAGCAGCAUUCUAAAUGGAACUGUUCAUUUGGGACAAGAUUAGAUUUUUCAAGGCCAGAGAAAAGGAUGUUGCAGUAGCUGAGAGAAAAGCUUCUGUGAGAGUCUGGAUGAGAGUUUUAGUUUUCUGGAUAGAAGGAAGGAGGGCUCUGUCUCUUUGAGACGUUAUGCUGAAAAAAACUGCAAUAUUAGUUUGGAUAUGAAGGCCUAGAGACUCAUCCGAGUCAAUGAUGAUGCCCAAGGUAUAGGCCUGUGAGACGGGCAGGAUGGUGAUGGCCACAGUCACUGAGAAAAGAACUGAUGGAGAGGGAUUGGGGAGCAAUUAAGACCUCUCUAUUAGCCUUGUUGAAGACCUCUCUAUAAGACCUCUCUAUUAGCUAGCUAUCCACAAAGGAAUGCCAGAGAAGGAGUCUGAGAUUUAAUUCGGCCAGAAGAAUUGUCUGGGAACAAGUAUCUAGUCACGGGAUUUUGUUAAGUCAUGGAAUGAGAUUCAGGACUAGUGUAUAAAGGAUUGACAAGAUGACUCGUUCGAUGAAUGACAGAAAGGCUUUAUUUACUACAGGUGUUCACUUUAAAUGAGCCUAUAGCAAAGCAAAGUCUAUUUAUCUAUAAAAGUGAUAGUAUCUCACCAAUACCGGCAAAGAGGCAGUCUCAGUCUUGUCAGCUUCUCAAGGUAUGGAUUUGUUCACCAGAAAAUCAGCUGGGCGCAGUAGCAGCUUUUGCUAGAAUGAUUUCUCAUUCUUGAUGCGCGCCCUGUUAGCUGCUUCAUUCCUCUUUUACAUCCUUCAACUUAGCAUCUUCAAAGCAUUCUUGUAGUUGUGUAAAUCAAGAGAGCAUCCAGAGCAAUAAAUAACAGGAAAAUCCUGUUAAUCAAACUAUUCAUUAUUGGUUAUCAGAAAGUCCCAAUUUUGAUUGAAUUACCUUCCUAAGUAACAAGAGGCUAUCAAUUUCUAUUAAGUUGGAACCUAUCAAGGAAUUGAUUAACAACCAGGAAAAACCUAAGGUUUUUGAGGAGUCAUCCUUCAAAGAUCAAGGGAACCAUUGAGUUAAAACGAGUAAAUCAAAGCCCGUAUGGAAAAUGUCUCUACACACAAACAUGAGUUAACUGCAAAGAAAUAUUUACUAUACUAAUUAAUCAAGGAUAAAUAUUUCACACAGUUACAUACCAGACAAAGGAGCCUGUUUAAAAUCAUCAUAUAGUAAGAUAAGCUGGAAGUGAUGCUUCAUUAUUUCUUUUCAGAAGGUCCAGCCGCAAACUUACAUCCUCUUGCACUGUGCAGUUGUCAUCAAUAUUUUAUAUUUUAACUUUUGUGAGUAGGCCUAGUUCAGAUUGAGUUUCACAGUCAUUAUAUUUUACUGCAUAUGAAUAGAAAUGGAUGUUUGGAGUGAACCAGGGCUGGGAGCUAGGUAGAUGAACAUUGAGGUGGAAGAGAAUGAAAUAUGGUGAGUAUCCACAGGCAUACAUCAACAAAAGAAGGAUGAGAGCAAAUAAUAAUAAUAUGUCCCAGGGGGAUGGAAACAGGGGCACAAGAGACCCCUCCGUGACAGGACCUGGGAUGGAGACAGCCCAUCCCUGCAAGAAAAGCCCUGAAGCCAGGGCGAACUUACCUAUUUCAGGCUGGGAAGAGACGGGUGAGCCAUGUCGGCACAGAGCACCCGCUAGGUUUUUGAGCCGUGUUUAUCUCCAAAUAAAAGCAGCGUGGGUGGAUGCCGUCAUCCCAUGAUGCCACCGGGACAAAAUAAAAGCUGGCUCCAAGAAGACAGCGGGAGAGGGACUGCUGGGAGCAGGCAGCAGAAGUGCUUCCCGUGCUGGGCACAGGCGGUGCCAACAACUUUCAAGAGAUCUGGGGAUGGACCCAUUGGGGGGGUCCACGUUGAGGGACUGCAGGAGCCACAGAUGCCAGGCCAGUGAGUGGGGAUGGGCCAAAGCCCUACCUCCUUAUCCUUUCUCUUAAUUUCUUCUUUUUCUUUUACUUUGGGGGAUUGCCUGGAAGGAACCUGAGAUGAGGGUCAGAGAUACGGGCAGCGCUCCAGGGUUAGGAGUGGCCGGGAUAGCACAGCAGGCAGCUGAGCUAUAAUGAAAGACCCGGCGGAAGAGCAAGGAUGGCUUAACGUCCUAAAGAGACGUAGGGCUGGGAGAGGUCAUCUGUAGCCCAGCCAAUGAGGAGAGAACAGGAGUUGACACCAGAGGGUGAGCCAUCGAACCGUCAAGUGGCCAUCCUAGACGCUGGCGCAUGGAUGGGGUGUAGGGGAGGUGGAGUCCCACGGAUACCCACCAGGGAGUGCGACCGAUCCAAGAGAGACCACAGGAGGGGGCCCCACCACUGAAAGCAAGAUCAAAGUCGUGGCAGGAAAGUUUCUGGGUUCCCCCCAGGGAAAUCGUGGACCCUCUCUGAGACCGCUGGAACAAAUGCAGCGGCCAAUCCCGGGUAUGCACUCCAAAGUGGCAUGAGAUCGCCUCCUCGAGACAAGGCAGGCACACACUGAAAGGCCAAGCAACAGGAAGGAGGCAGCUGAAAGUAACCAGGUAAUGGUUAUAGAGAGAGAACACAACAGUAGACAGAUUAGAGAGCAAGCAGUGCUUGAUGAAGGCCAAGUCAAGCAAAGGGCCCUUUUUUUGAAUGGGAGUAUCGAACAGGGAGUGCAGGUCAGUAAAGAGGCUAGGGUGAGCAAACAUGCAGCUAAACAGUAUUAACACGUUCAUCACUGAGGAUGAGCUUGCAAGGUGUGGGGGAGAGAUCUGGAGACCAAAUCAAAGAGGAAGGCUGAUGAGGAAGAGAUGGGUUAACAGUAAAUGACAUUGUGUGGAUGAAUGUGAAGGGGGAUAGAAGGAAGAGUCAGACUGUUCAGAAGAGGAAAAAGAGGUGACAAUAGAGAAAUGGGCUGCAAAGAGCAGAAAAGGAAGGAGAAAACCAACCUCCUCACCAUAUCUAAUGCAGAGAGGGAAAUAUGAGAGAACAGAGGAUAGGUUGAUGUAAAAGGGGGCAGCUCCAGAGGCACUUUCAUAUGAAGGAAUCCUUUAGAGAGCUGGGAACUACAGGUAGUAAGGUGUAAAGGGGUAAACUGGGAACUACAGGGAGUAAGGUGUAAAGAAGUCUUUAAUUGCUGGUACAGUCUUCUCUUCUUUAAAUGAAGUGGUUUCGUUUUUUAUUCUUUGCUCAUCUCUGGAGAGAAUUUGCUAGUUAUUUUGACAUUUGGUUUGCUUGAAGAUAGAAUGUCAUAGCUCCUUUAAAGAUAGCGGGUCCAGAAGUGCCUUUCCAAAAGAAGCUUGUUUUUUUCUAACCCCCAGGUGCCACACAUGAAAGUUUUGUAGCCGUUUCUUUGAACUGAAUUGUCUGGGGUGAUGGAGCCACACCCUUGACCUCUGCAUGAAUAAUAUAGGCUGAAAAUUCUUUACACAGAAAAAGUAGGUCUUUUCGUCCCUCCCCCCAAAUGAAGCUCUUGCAUUACAAAAGUUUUAAACGUAAGAGAAAGCCAUCAGAAAGAAGUUAUCCUGCUACUUGCAUUAUUGCAACAGUAUAGCCAGUAAAGAAAAAUGUCAUAAUAAACUGAUUACAUGCUUUCAUGUUUAAAAACUAGCUGAUUCUGCAUGUUCAAAACUAGCAGGAAAAAUAUGGCAUCCUGAAAAAAGAGUAGGUCUUAAGCAAGCUGUGAAAAUGAAACUUCAGUCUUAAAUAUGUUGUGUACAUUUUCUGUAUGCUAACUGUGGGUACUGAAUAUGCUGGUGACCUUUUGUCUUUUUUCCCCCAAUUCAGUACACAGAAGAUGAAGCAAGAAAAUUAGGAGUAGUUGGCUGGGUUAAAAAUACCAGACAAGGAACAGUGACUGGCCAAGUUCAGGGCCCAGAAGAUAAAGUAAAUGCAAUUGUACAGUGAAAACAGAACAUGGAAAAAGUUUCCUAAUUAUUAUCUGAAACACAAAUCAUGAAAUAAGGACCAGAUUCUACAACCCUAAUUUAUGAUGAAUAGUAUGAACAGUCCUAUGCCUGUGUCCUGUGGAGUUAAUAAACCUGACGUAAUUAAAGACUGGAUUGUAAUAUGUGGGUAUGCAAAAGUCAAAUUAUUGCACACUACCUCAUUCUGGAAGGCCUGGUUGAGUAAAGUCGGAAGUCCCAGUUCUCGGAUAGCGCGAACAAACUUUUCUAAUGAGAAGGAGAUCACCAAGCUUGAUUU